AAUAUUGGGACAUAUAAAAAAAAGACAACUGUUCCGCGAGUAGCUGUUGAGAUUAUAGUUGCGCAGACACUUUGUUGACUCUAGAGAACCUCGGGCCAAUCGCACAUCCCCGUGGCGGCGACUUUGCAUGCGGAUGUCAUCCAUAUCAACUUUCGAUGCCAGUUUCUACGCCUACCAUGGUAACCAGGGGUAACAGGAAAUCAGGGUUCAAUUCCGUACAGGGACCCUGAGAAACGGCCACCACAUGCAAGGAAGGCAGCAGGCGCGCAAAUGACCCACUCCCGACGCAGGAAGGUAGUGA